UACGUAGGUCCCGAGCGUUGUCCGGAUUUAUUGGACGUAAAGCGAGCGCAGGUGGUUUAUUAAGUCUGGUGUAAAAGGCAGUGGCUCAACCAUUGUAUGCAUUGGAAACUGGUAGACUUGAGUGCAGGAGAGGAGAGUGGAAUUCCAUGUGUAGCGGUGAAAUGCGUAGAUAUAUGGAGGAACACCGGUGGCGAAAGCGGCUCUCUGGCCUGUAACUGACACUGAGGCUCAAAAGCGUGGGGAGCAAACAGG
rnacentral:rRNA from 1 species